AUUCCACAUCAUUCCAAACAGGCUGUAAGACUUCUACUCUCCCAAAAUAAAGAGAGCCUGAGACUUCUUGCCCGACGCCACUUCCCCCUCUUCCAUCGGCGACACCCAACGACCAGCGGCCACCUUCCUCUUCGCCGCCGCCGGUCGGCCAUAUCUCUCCCCUCUCCCUCUUCCACCUUCAUUUCAUCCACAGCCGACGCCAACGCACACCAACAACAGCUUCCUCGCCAUCCAGCCACUCUGCCACCGCCAGAGCUCCUCCCCUCUUCGGGUUCGAAGAGGAGAGGCUCUGAUCUUCAUCUUUAACCCAACCUAUAGCCAGCUAAGGAUCUGCCAGCGAAUGCCUCGUCCUCCAUCCGCGAUGCCACUAGCACCUCUUCCAUCACCGCCGACCAGAUUCAUCUUAUGUUUUAAUUGAAGUUGAGUAUUUGAUGACUGACGAAACUGGUAUUUUGCUUGUCCUUGGUCGAACUACAUAAAGAUGCAAAUUUUAGCUUCUCAUGCAUUUUUUCAUUUCGAUCUAGGGUUUCUUUUAAUCGUGUCAGCGUCACUCAGGAAGAUUUGGAGCUUAUUAGGAUGUAUUUUGUAGACAGAUUAGGAACGUAAUUUUGACUACCUCCAAGUAGAUUGAUCAUCUUUUUUGAGAGCGUUCUAGAUCAUUGUUCCCCUUUUGAUGUUGUUUGGUCAAUUUACCAAACCAUGGAAUGACCUAUUGCUUUCUAGUGAAUUAUUUCUAGGCUCUUUGAUCAAGUGUUAUAUUAUACUUAAUUUGUAUACUGAUAUCUAAGCUUCAUUUGUAAUUUAUUUAUAACUCUUGUUGAUGCUUCAAAAUUGCAACUUAUCAACUAGAAUAUGUAAGCCGUGCAGCUGUGAAUACAGUCGCUCUACACCCAAAUCAAGUAUUUGUUUUUAUAAUUUUGUUUUUUUAAUACUGUUCUGCACAUAUUCAUGAUGGAUGCAAUAUAAAAGUCUUUUUUUCCUUCUAAAAAUGUAAUUUUUAUUUUAUACCACCAUUAUUAAUCGCCUGUAUUUUGUUGUAGCUCCAUAUUGUUACUCAUUAAUCUACUAGUGAAGUGGAUGAGCAACUCUUUUAAUCAACCAGGUUCAAUUAGUUUGUAACAGAUGCUCCUACCAAUUUUGGGGCACUAUUUUACAAACUAUCAAGUUUAACUAUCUUGCAGAAGGAAUGUAACCAAUAUCUAGUGAUCAAAACGGUAACAAUAGAGUAUGAGAUCUUGCUACAAAUUCAUGCAGCUGUGAGUUAGUAGGUUUCAGUUUGACUGUGAUGUGGGAUGAAAGCAUGUUUGUUGUUGCAAAUAAUCAUGAACAUGUUAUGUCUGACACUUACUAAAAGAAACUCAGGUACUGGAGGUUUGAUGUGAAAUAAGCCUUUUGGAGCUCUUGCGCAUGAUGACAUUUUUGCAUACGAAGACUUUAGAGAAAUGAAUAGUUUUGAUGUAAAUGGAUGUGAAUUUUACAAGUUUAAUGGUGUACAUACAAUUAUCAUGAACUAAUACAUGAUAUUUUAAUAUAUAUGGUGUUUUUAUUUUUAA